rnacentral:rRNA from 1 species
GACGAACGCUGGCGGCGUGCCUAAUACAUGCAAGUAGAACGCUGAAGGAAGGAGCUUGCUCUUUCUGGAUGAGUUGCGAACGGGUGAGUAACGCGUAGGUAACCUGCCUGGUAGCGGGGGAUAACUAUUGGAAACGAUAGCUAAUACCGCAUAAAAUUGAUUAUUGCAUGAUAGUCAAUUAAAAGGUGCAACUGCACCACUACCAGAUGGACCUGCGUUGUAUUAGCUAGUUGGUGGGGUAACGGCUCACCAAGGCGACGAUACAUAGCCGACCUGAGAGGGUGAUCGGCCACACUGGGACUGAGACACGGCCCAGACUCCUACGGGAGGCAGCAGUAGGGAAUCUUCGGCAAUAGACGGAAGUCUGACCGAGCAACGCCGCGUGAGUGAAGUAGGUUUUCGGAUCGUAAAGCUCUGUUGUAAGAGAAGAACGAGUGUGAGAGUGGAAAGUUCACACUGUGACGGUAUCUUACCAGAAAGGGACGGCUAACUACGUG